CAGGUACUCCCUCCGUCUGGAAAUACUCGUCGGAGAAAUGCAUAAAAAUAGAUGUAUCUAAAACUAAAAUAUGUCUAGAUACAUCAAUUCCUCCGACAAGUAUUUCCGGACGGAGGGAGUAUAUA
rnacentral:pre_miRNA from 1 species